UCCGUAGGUGAACCUGCGGAAGGAUCAUUACCACAAAUCUACUUUACUUUACCGUGAACAACUUUGAAAAACGAGUUACCUUUUUUCGAAGAGGUAGCGCACCUUUUCAUUAAUCACAAUUUCAUAUAACUUUCUUUCCAAAGAAAACUUUAUGACUUUUAGCGAUGGAUGUCUAGGUUCUCGCAACGAUGAAGAACGCAGCGAAAUGCGAUACGUAAUGCGAAUUGCAGAAUCCGUGAAUCAUCAAAUCUUUGAACGCACAUUGCACUUCCGGUUGCCCGGAAGUAUUUCUGUUUGAGUGUCUGUUCUUCCCUCUCAGUGUAUUCUGGAUUGUGGACGUCUACGUUUUUGCUAACGUUCGUCUGAAAUGAAUGAGCAAAGUGUCUCUUCUACACCUUUGUACCGACGAUAUUAUCGAAAGGUACAUGUUGGUCAAGAAGAAGCCUACAAUUAAUUUUGACCUCAAAUCAGGAAAGAAGACCCCCUGAAUUUAAGCAUAUAAUUAAGGGGAGGAAAAGAAACUAACCAGGAUUCCCCUAGUAACGGCGAGUGAAGCGGGAUAAGCUCAAACUGAAAAUCUAGGCGCUUUGUGUGCCUCGAAUUGUAGUUUCGAGAAGUGUAACCAGCUGUUGACUGCUCUUAAAAUCUCUUGGAACAGGGUAUCAUAGAGGGUGAGAAUCCCGUUUAUGAGGGCAAGUUCAAUUGCGUACGGUUUACUUUCAACGAGUCGAGUUGCUUGGGACUGCAGCUCAAAGUAGGAGGUAAAUUCCUUCUAAAGCUAAAUAUUGGCGAGAGACCGAUAGCGAACAAAUACCGUGAGGGAAAGAUGCAAAGCACUUUGAAAAGAGAGUGAAAGAGUACCUGAAAUCGCUAAAAGGGAAACGCUUGAAGU
rnacentral:rRNA from 1 species